AAAAAUCACGGGGAGACGCACUCUGUUCAGCAGGUGUCUUGAUAUCAUCAUCCGAUGGUAGCUGCUCAGAUCUCAGACUGCCAGAAGCACAUCUCAGCAUUGAUGAAUCCUGCCAAAGACUGAGCUCCUCAUCGUCCCUGAAGUUUCCAACAUUCUUCAAAACCAUAAAUGUGUUCAACAGAACAAAAAAAGUCAAACUGGAUUGGAACAAGUGGAGGUACUCAGACUGCCUGAAGCACAUCUCAGCAUUGAUAAAGCCCAGCAAAGACUGACCUCCUCAUCUUCCCUGAAGUUUCCAACAUUCUUCAAAAGCAUAAAUGUGUUCAACAGAUGAAAGUCUAACUGGUUUGGAACAAGUGGAGUACCAGUUUGCUGGGUGUCCAGAUGUCUCCUUUCUCCAGGACCAUGAAUGGAGUAUUAGUGGGCAGAGACUGAAAGAAGGCCUCAGACUCCACCACCGUCCCAUCAUCCUCCAGCACCAGCGUGAUGGUCUGCACCACCUUUGCAGUGCCUGCAUCCACACCUUGAGAACCACUGAAUUAUAGGAUGCCUUGAGGGUGGACUUUAGAAAUCAUUUCCCAGAUGGAGGAAAUGAAAGGACAUUUUGAAGACUGAACAGAACCAGACUGCAGUAUUAUUG